rnacentral:pre_miRNA from 1 species
UGUUAAAAGUUUAUCUAUUUUUACCGUUAAAAACUGGUGUAGUUAAGAGAAUCACCCGAUAGUUACACGUGGCAUCUAUAUGUAUCUCAGUAUGAGGUACAAAGAGCAAUUGCAAUUUUUAAAGAUAAAAAUAAAUGAAAUUUUUAAUU